rnacentral:rRNA from 1 species
UGGGGGAAUCUUCCACAAUGGGCGAAAGCCUGAUGGAGCAACGCCGCGUGUGUGAUGAAGGGUUCCGGCUCGUAAAACACUGUUGUAAGAGAAGAAUGACAUUGAGAGUAACUGUUCAAUGUGUGACGGUAUCUUACCAGAAAGGAACGGCUAAAUACGUGCCAG